rnacentral:rRNA from 1 species
GCAAGUCGAGGGGUAACAGGGAAGCUUGCUUCCGCUGACGACCGGCGCACGGGUGAGUAACGCGUAUACAAUUUACCUUUUACAGGAGAAUAGCCCAGAGAAAUUUGGAUUAAUGCUCCAUGGUAUUAUUUGGUCACCUGGCCAGAUAAUUAAAGCUUCGGCGGUAAAAGAUGAGUAUGCGUCCUAUUAGCUAGAUGGUAAGGUAACGGCUUACCAUGGCGACGAUAGGUAGGGGUCCUGAGAGGGAGAUC